rnacentral:lncRNA from 1 species
AACUAGUUCAUUUUAUAUAGAUGAUAAAAAAGGGGAAAAGUAAAGAGAAAUACAUUCCAAGUUGAAGAACAUGGUGGAUAAAAAUACAAUAUAAAAUGUAGAAUCCUUUCCAUUGGAUUCUUGAAGAGAAGAGUGGCAUGAGCUUCUCUCUCUCUCUCUCUCUCUCUCUCUCUCUCUCUCUCUCUUUUUUGCCCAAAAUCCUUCCAAUUUUUUUCCCUUUUCGUGCCCUAAGGGUGUCACUGAGCCAAGACGAAACUCUAGGCUUGGGCUUUUUUAGGACGAGCCGAGUAAAAGCUCGGCCAAACAUUUAAGGCUCAAGCCAAGCCGACUCAUGUCUUUUUUUCCUCCCUUCCAUAGCUGCUGUCAAACAAGCAACAAAUUGCAGCAGAAAUGCAUCCUUUACAGGCAAUCUGUAAAGUUGUCGACCGACAGCAAAUCUGCUGCAAACAGGCUACCUGUUGAGGCAGCUAUGAAACUGCCUGUUAAGCUGCCUUAACCAGCAGCAAAUUUACUGCCAACAGGCAGCUUUAUAACUGAGGGAGCAGAUUUGCUACCAAUGCAGCUUAACCGACAACAAAUGUUGAAAGUUUCUUUUUUCUAAUAAGCGUGCGGACGAGCCACACAGGCCGGCCCUAACCCUUUUUCAAGCCGACGAGCCCGAUUGCCACCACUAUUCUUCUUCAUUUUUCUCCCAAAAGUGUAAAGAAAAAAAUGAAAAGAUGAAGAAAUGAAGAGAGUCUCUUUUUUGUGUCGUUUAAAACCCUAAAACGUGCUUAAAAAAAUGCAAAAAGAACAACAUAAUUUGAAAUAAGAUGCAAAAUUAUCCCAGUUUUUAAAGCCAGUCAUACGCUAGCAAAGGCCUGAGCCAUUAGGCUAUUCUCAGUGACCUGUAAAAGGAGCCAAGGUGCGUGCCAGCUAUGCAAGCUUAGGUUCGUUUUCUCCAUUUCAGUUCUCAAGUAAAUUGUAGUCCAGGUACCUAUACUUUCAUUCUGUACAAUUUUCUUCUCGAAUAUUGACUUUUCUUUUGAUUAUGCCCUCCAUAAAUUGCACCUUAUGGUCCUUCAUCUUUUUUACUUGUGCUUUUUGAUACUUAACCUCACAAUUUUGAACAAUUUCGAUCCAUUUUUCUUUUCCUUUGCCUUGUUCUCAUUCCAUAGGUGAUUUUUACCUAAAUAAAGCAUAAUUACACAAUUGUGAAUAUAAAUUCGUUCCUCUAGUCGAUAUUUGCCUAUUUAGAUAUUAAAUAAGUGUGCAAAAAUACACUUCUCACAAAUCCACCGAAGAACUUGUAUAUUUUUGAAUUAAAAGUACUCAACGAGAUGAGAUUUUUCUUCAAAUAUUGAAGCUGAUCAAAUUUUCUAACUGUCCCAUCCACCAGCUUAUGUUUGACUCUACCAACACCAUUAUUUGACAAGGUGCAUUGUUUUUCAUGAUCACAACCCCUAUUGAAACUAUUUCACAUGUUUAAAAUAAAUCCCGAUUGGGAUAUAUAUGAAAAGCACAAGUUGUAACCAAAAUCCAAUCCUCAUGAAAUAUGGACUCACCAUUAGAAAUAACCAACACAUCUCCAUUCCUCAAGUAGUUCUCUAUGAUAUUGAUUUUACCUGUAGUUUCUAAUUGCUUACCCUUCUGAUUUGCAACUAAAUUUCCUUUAUUAAGCAACUUGUUUCAAUCUCUCUUGAUGUACUCUUUCUUCUUGCAAUAAAACAAACUUGAUUACUGAAUUUCGAUUUUGAUCUACCCUUUCCGUAAUCACCAUGAUCAACAAGGCUUUUUCCACCUCUAGCCUCAAAUCCAAUCAUAUGUUUUAUUCCUUUGAAAACAAAGCAUCAUAUGCAUCUUUAGUGGUGAGAGUAUAAGGACUAUAUAAAUCAUGUCUGUAAACAAAGAAAAUGAAGCGGGCAAUGAAAGCAAAAGAAUUAAGGAGAAAUAUUCCUCAUUAUAUUUUACCUUACCUCUGAAGCCUUUAGAUCAGUGACUAUCUCCUAAAAAACAACCAGGUUAUCUUCCAACGAUCCGCCUUCUGUCAUGCGAUGAGACUACAAACGCUGCUUCAAGUGCAAUUUACUAGUUAGACUCGCUCAAACUUCAACCAUAACGCAACUAUUAUAUCUCAGCAUAUUUCAAAUUACGAUUUCAAAGCAAGAAAAUGGAUGAAAUGCCAAUGAUUCCUGCCACUUUCCAGCUUAAUUAACCAACAUUAUGACUUAUGAUACUUAAACUGUUAGUCACUACGUCCAUUUCCAUUAGAACUAAAUAAUGAAUUUGAUGACACUGCAAGUUGAUAUUUUAACAAUUUCCAACUUAGUGUCCGAUUUGACCAAAAAGGAAAAAAGAAGUAUGAUUAAACAGAGAUGUAAAUAAUUGUGUCCACUACUCUUGGAUUUCUAAGCAGGUCUUGUAUACAUCCCAAAUUUGUCAUUAAUUGCACAAUAUUUUAGUUGCGAUGAAACUUUUCAACUUUUGCUCAUAUUCGUACUUAUAUUCUCGGAUUUUUUUUUGUCUCAUUAAAAUAUCUUAUUUAUGAAGACGGUUUCUGUCCAGAUAUUCUAUUAGCCUACGGAAAUUAUUUUGUUUAAAUUUAAUAUUUAUUUCCUCCUAAUGAAUUUGUUGGCAUAUAGUCGACUUCAUCCUCAAUGUUUUGAUCAUAACAAACAAGAUUAAUAUAUUUCUAACAAUUUAUUUUGAGUGAUGAUAGUUCAAUCAAGUAUUAUAUAUCGGACUUGAAAUGAAGAUCAAAGUGGAAGUUAAGCAGAGAGUUUAAAAGAUAAACGCCAAGAAUGAUCAAGAUCAAGAGCAUAAGAGAUGACAUCAAAAGAAAGAUCAAGACAAGAAGUCUAAUAAGCAAACUUCGAAGAUCAUGACUUGAUUUCUCAAAAAAAUGUAAAUGUACUAACACUUUGAUAUUUGGCAAUGAAUAUAUAAGCUCAAAAUCUUUCUAUACAAUAAAAACAAUUUAUGUGCACUAAAAGUCAUUCGAAUGCAACGUUUUGAUCAAAUAUAAAAACGACUUUUAAAAAUGAUAUUUGGACUUUAAAAAUAUUUUUAUCAUGAAAAUUUAGUUAAAAAUAUUUUCAAAAGUCAAUACACUUCAAAACUCUCAAAUCGAAACAAACGAGAUCAAAACGUAAAAAGACCACACUGUCAAAACGGUCAACCGACCAGAGAGGUGGCCAAUCGGAUCCCCUCAAUGGUCCGUAAUUUGACCAUUUUGACCUCUGAUUUUUACUGUACAAAUGACUAUAUUGGUCAUCCAGACAAGAGACGGUCGACUUGACGAGUCAUCGCAGAUACAAAUUUUUUUGACGUUUUGAACUCUAUAAAUACCCGCACCUCUUGUGUUUAUUACAACACUUCGAAGAGCAUUAAAUUGAGAUAUUUUUGAGCUUUAAGUUCUCUACU